GACUGGAUCCUCUCUGCCGAGUCCUUUCUGUGGCUGGAGGACAGAGGAGGCGGCUCAGGAGCCAGUUUGAGGGAUGAGCAGCAUCGAGCCUGCUGAGCAGUCCCAGAGCUGGAGGCUAUUAAUAGUAACGGAGUUUGGCAGCAAUGCCCGGCAUGCGCACCCAGAUGCAGGCAGACCUGGGGGAGAUGCAGCCAGAUGGUGACCUGUGCAUGUUCCAAGUUUCUGGGGAGAAGGGAGAGGAAGAGAAGACGGACACGAAGUCAAGCCCAGGAUAGCACAAGUGGCAUCAGCACUGUUGAGAUAAGUCCUGUGCGUCUCCAGGAUCUGGCCAGGGAUGGCGACAGUCCACGGGUGUCCACAGCCGCCUCCCCAUCUCAUGGCCAAGAAGCCGGCAUGGAUGUCCCCAUGCUGACCCACAGGGCGCCGGUCCCUGGGUGAGCUCAGAGCUGCUGUCCUGGCGAUUGGAAUCCACUGAG
rnacentral:lncRNA from 1 species